UACGUAGGGGGCUAGCGUUGUCCGGAAUCAUUGGGCGUAAAGCGCGUGUAGGCGGUCCGGUAAGUCCGCUGUGAAAGUCGGGGGCUCAACCGUCGGAUGCCGGUGGAUACUGUCGGGCUUGAGUACGGAAGAGGCGAGUGGAAUUCCUGGUGUAGCGGUGAAAUGCGCAGAUAUCAGGAGGAACACCAUUGCGAAGGCAGCUCGCUGGGACGUUAACUGACGCUGGAGACGCGAAAGCGUGGGGAGCAAACAGG
rnacentral:rRNA from 1 species